ensembl:lncRNA
AUGAAGAAACAAACUCCUCUACAUCUUGGAUGGCCUGAGGGAAAUGUGAACCUGCGACCUCCAGGUGUCAAGCAUGUGAGUCAGUGGAAUAAAGAGCAUCUUUCAGCCUGUUCGUUAGUGGAAUUGCCAUUUGAUAUCCAAGUGUCUACCACAACAUCCUACAGUAACUGACAAACAACUUCUUUACACACCACUUUUCUCUCUCUUAAAAUCUGCUCCUAUUCAAGUCCAAGUAUUAUUCUAACAGACUUCACUUUGUUCCAAUCAAGAUUUGAUGAACAUUAGAGAUAACAACAGACUUUGUGCAGCAAUUGUUAUACAUCGAUAGAACAAUAUUGUUGAUUUAAAAUGUAUCAUUUAUACUUCCUGAUGUUAUUGCUAACCAGCAGGCUCUUAGCUAACAAGUUAACAAGUAGCUCAUUAGGAGCCAAAAUAGCUUAUUUUUUUUUAUUUUUUAUUUUUUUUUUUUAUUUAUUUAGCAUUCAUUAUUGUACUCUAAAAAUAUCCUGGUAAAUUUGAGACUGCUGUGCUAGAAAUUCACUAUAAAAUUAUGGUAACAAUGUUUCAGGUAUUAUGGGAUGGCAUAUUGGUGCCUUAUUUAAUCAAACUUAGCCUAUUUCAUCAAGUUAUAAUGACAAAAUGUUAAUACCUAUUGACUUGAACUUUUUUUUUUUUUUUUUUAUUAAAAUAACAGUUUGCUGAAACUGUACUAAAAAAAAGGUUAUUUCUGAGGUGACCUGGGUGAGAUCUAAAGGUAAAUUAACUUUGAAUAGUUAAACACAUGGGUUGAGGUAUGGAAUGGUGCAAAUAACCCUUCAUGGAACUUAUUUGGGCCAUAUGUGUUAUGUAGAUAUGAACUUACUCACCCUUUGAAAGUCAUGUCUGGAGGAUACACUCAGUGCCCUCAAUGACCUGCACUUGUAGAGAUUCUUGAUUGUGUUGCUUCCUUUAAACUAACUUGCAACUGUAACAGAUACAUUAGAUAAUGGACUUUAACAUUUUAACAUAUUAACCUUUAAUUCUUCUCCAUGACUUAGCUAGUUUAUGAACAAGGCUAAUUUUAAUUUAUGUUAGAGAAAUCUGUUUUAAUCUCGACCAUCAUAAAUAGAAAGAAUGUUUUAAUCCAAAGCAUUACUAGAACUAGUUAAUGCUGCAGAAUUUAUGUUGUAAGUGUAAUAAUGUUAAAAUGUUAAUUGCAUUAAUGUUAAAAUAUGCUUGUAGUUGAAAAUGUUGUGAUAUAUUGAGUUUCUUGAUAUGGCAACAUCUGUCUACAAUCACUAACAAUCAUUACUUAUUUAUUAAAGGAAUAGUUCACCCAGAAAUGAACAUUUGCUGAAAAUGUACUCUUUUUCAGGCCAUGUGAGAUGAGCUUAGUUUUCUGGUCAUUUGGAGAAAUUUGGGUGCCAUCAUCAGAAUGAUUUUCCAAACAGCUGAUAAAAACAUCACAAUAAUCCACAUGACUCCAGUCCAUCAAUUAAUUUAUUUUGAAGUGAAAAGCUGCAUGUCUGUAAUAAAAAAUCCACAUUGAAGGCA